rnacentral:tRNA from 1 species
GAGAGAUGCCUGCGCACCAAGAACUGCUAAUUCUUACUACUUUGGUUAAACUCCAAAGAUCACUCA